rnacentral:rRNA from 1 species
UACGGGGGGGAGCAAGCGUUGUUCGGAUUUACUGGGCGUAAAGGGCGCGUAGGCGGCCUCCGCAAGUCAGUUGUGAAAUCUCCGAGCUUAACUCGGAAAGGUCAACUGAUACUGCGGGGCUAGAGUGCGGAAGGGGCAACUGGAAUUCUUGGUGUAGCGGUGAGAUGCGUAGAUAUCAAGAGGAACACCUGCGGCGAAGGCGGGUUGCUGGGCCGACACUGACGCUGAGGCGCGAAAGCUAGGGGAGCGAACGGG